UAACAAAUAAUCGACGCAAGAACAACACGUAAAAAGUAAUUUUAACGUUUAAUUCUGAUGUCGAGCCAAGAUUGGCGCCUCAUCUUAUUGAGACGCAAAGCUGAUUUAAACUGAAGAGUUUGAUCAUGGCUCAGAUUGAACGCUGGCGGUAUGCUUAACACAUGCAAGUCGAACGGUAGCAGGCCUUCGGGCGCUGACGAGUGGCGGACGGGUGAGUAACGCGUAGGAAUCUGCCUCAUAGUGGGGGACGAACGUGGGGAAACUCACGCUAAUACCGCAUACGCCUACGGGGAAAGACGGGGGAGUCUUCGGACCUCGCGCUAUGAGAUGAGCCUGCGUUAGAUUAGCUAGUUGGUAGGGUAAAGGACCGUACCAAGGCGACGAUCUAUAGCUGGUCUGAGAGGACGAUCAGCCACACUGGGACUGAGACACGGCCAGACUCCUACGGGAGGCAGC
rnacentral:rRNA from 1 species